CAGUAGCCGCGGUAAUACGUAGGUGGCAAGCGUUGUCCGGAAUUAUUGGGCGUAAAGGGCUCGCAGGCGGUUUCUUAAGUCUGAUGUGAAAGCCCCCGGCUCAACCGGGGAGGGUCAUUGGAAACUGGGAAACUUGAGUGCAGAAGAGGAGAGUGGAAUUCCACGUGUAGCGGUGAAAUGCGUAGAGAUGUGGAGGAACACCGGUGGCGAAGGCGACUCUCCGGUCUGUAACUGACGCUGAGGAGCGAAAGCGUGGGGAGCGAACAGGAUUAGAUACCCCAGUAGUCCCUGUCUCUUAUAC
rnacentral:rRNA from 1 species